ensembl:lncRNA
CAAAGUACCUGUACUUGUUUCUGUCUAACGACGUGCUGACAACGACGCCUAGACCUGUGACACAAAGGCUGACAGACAGCACAGAGAACUUGGCACUCUCGUGUGUCAGCGCCUUGCUAAUGAACCGUCCGUAGUCAUGUUAACAGCACACGGUGCUGGUUUACAAAUCUUCAAGCGGCAAUUUCUUUCUUUAUAAUGACUCCCAAGCCCUUUCGUCUUGCCGAGACUUGCGAUCUGAGACCGUGGAGCGAAAAAAAACCCAAAAAAAAACCCCUCCCUUUCCUCCGUGAGUGAAAACCAGGGCUGUUACAGAUCUCCACCAGGACUUCACCCAACGACAUGUUGCUUUUAUGGGUACCGGAGCACGGUUAACCCUCAGUACUGCAGCGCUCGGGUCGAGAGCGAAGCAUACAGGUCAUGACCCUUUAAUAAAGCAUCGUGUGUCAGGUAUAAACUGGAACUCGACACACUGCAGCAAGUUUUUGAGGAUGUGCCAUACAUGAACUCGUCACACUCGGGGGACUCGCGAAGCCGGUUUUACACUUAUUUAUUUAUUUAUUUAUUUUUUAAAACGUGGCAUACUACCAACUCGAAUAUUAUCUCCUGGAUGAUUCAACUGUUAAGUACAACCAAUAGUAGAACAAAGAGCGAAGCUUUCAUCUCCCCGUGCACGUAUACCGUCUCGUCCGUCUCCUUAACGUACGUGAGAGUCUGCGAAGGUUUCAGAGAGACACGACGUUUUGACGUUUUGGACAGAAAUGGAAAAAACCCAAGUAAGUGUUUCUGCAAAGCUGAGCUGAAUCCAACACUAGAGUGGCACACAAAUAUGACAAG